rnacentral:ncRNA from 2 species
UCCGGCCCACGUAACUGGCGCUGCACGACUGCAGAGGUGGAACCGACCACCGGGAAGCGUCCCUCACUACGCCGUGCGCCUGGGUGUAGUGG